UACGAAGGGGGCUAGCGUUGCUCGGAAUCAUUGGGCGUAAAGAGCGUGUAGGCGGUCCGGUAAGUCCGUUGUGAAAGUCAGGGGCUCAACCCUCGAAUGCCGGUGGAUACUGUCGGGCUAGAGUGCGGGAGAGGCGAGUGGAAUUCCUGGUGUAGCGGUGAAAUGCGCAGAUAUCAGGAGGAACACCAAUUGCGAAGGCAGCUCGCUGGAACGUAACUGACGCUGAGACGCGAAAGCGUGGGGAGCAAACAGG
rnacentral:rRNA from 1 species